ACUCAAAUGAAUAGACGGGGACCCGCACAAGCGGUGGAGCGUGUUGUUUAAUUCGAUGAUAAGCGAAGAACCUUACCAGGGCUUGACAUCCUACUAAUUUCUGCGAAAGCAGAGAGUGUCUUCGGACCGUAGUGACAGGUGCUGCAUGGCCGUCGUCAGCUCGUGUCGUGAGAUGUUUGGUUAAGUCCAUCAACGAGCGCAACCCUUGUGGCUAGUUGGAUUUUUCUAGUCAGACUGCCCCGGUAACGGGGAGGAAGGAGGGGAUGAUGUCAGGUCAGUAUUGCCCUUACGUCCUGGGCUACAAACACGCUACAAUGGCCGGUACAAAGGGCUGCCAAGUCGCGAGACGGAGCAAACCCCAUCAAAACCGGUCUCAGUUCGGAUAGCAGGCUGAAACUCGCCUGCUUGAAGCUGGAAUCGCUAGUAACGGUAGGUCAGCACACUACCGUGAAUACGUUCCCGGGUCUUGUACACACCGCCCGU
rnacentral:rRNA from 1 species